rnacentral:lncRNA from 1 species
GCUCCCCCCUCCCCCAUUCAGGGGAGCCCCUAAACGCUACUGGCCAUUUACAAAGGGCUGUGUGUGUGUGUGUGUGUGUGUGUGUGUGUGUGAAACUGCAAGCUUAUUUGUUCCUGUUCUGGGAGUCUGUCUGUCUGUAACUCGGAUUAUUGCUCUCUGGGAAGCUGUAGCUGGCUGAUUCCGUGGGAGACCAAGAGUUCCCGUUUGGGUAGUCAGACCUGUCCUGCCAGCUGGGGGUCUACGUGAGGGGUGGCCACUGGAGACAGGAGUCUGGGAGGCCACGGAACUGAAGAGUCUGAACACUGUGAGCUCCAGAGUCCCAGGAAAUUGUCAAAUUUUAUCUUCGGAAGAAACUUGGAGACUUUUUUAAAGGUGAAAUUUUCAUCUUUAGGACUGAACUCCUUCUCAACUGAACUUAAUGGAGAGAUUAAGUGCCUUGUUUUGUGAGCUAUGUUUAAAUGAAGAUGAGCUAGAAGACAGAACUGUUAAAAAUAUGUAAGUUUUAUUAUAUAGCCAAAUGAAGGAUUCGGCUCUCUUGUAAUGGUAUUCUGAAAAAUUCCUAGCUUCUGUGAAAUUCCCUAAUUAUGGAAUUUUCUUUCAUGAUAUGGAGCUACUCCUGAUUUCAUCAUGAGAAUCUGAUCUGAAACUCAAUUUACGGAAAUACUGAAAAUGAAUUUCAAAUUAAAUGAGACCAUCUGUAUACUAAUAUGAUGCAAUACUGUUGAUUCACAUUUUUCCAUAUUAAAGACUGUUCUGAACUCUAAAUCUUUUAAAUAAACGAGACUGA